rnacentral:rRNA from 1 species
AGUGAACGCUGGCGGUAGGCCUAACACAUGCAAGUCGAACGGCAGCACAGUAAGAGCUUGCUCUUACGGGUGGCGAGUGGCGGACGGGUGAGGAAUACAUCGGAAUCUACUUUUUCGUGGGGGAUAACAUAGGGAAACUUACGCUAAUACCGCAUACGACCUACGGGUGAAAGCAGGGGAUCUUCGGACCUUGCGCGAUUGAAUGAGCCGAUGUCGGAUUAGCUAGUUGGCGGGGUAAAGGCCCACCAAGGCGACGAUCCGUAGCUGGUCUGAGAGGAUGAUCAGCCACACUGGAACUGAGACACGGUCCAGACUCCUACGGGAGGCAGCAGUGGGGAAUAUUGGACAAAGGGCGCAAGCCUGAUCCAGCCAUACCGCGUGGGUGAAGAAGGCCUUCGGGUUGUAAAGCCCUUUUGUUGGGAAAGAAAAGCAGCAGGUUAAUACCCCGCUGUUCUGACGGUACCCAAAGAAUAAGCACCGGCUAACUUCGUG